UGGGGAAUAUUGGACAAUGGGCGCAAGCCUGAUCCAGCAAUGCCGCGUGUGUGAAGAAGGCCUUCGGGUUGUAAAGCACUUUUAUCAGGAGCGAAACGCUGUCGGCUAAUACCCGGCGGAACUGACGGUACCUGAGGAAUAAGCACCGGCUAACUUCGUGCCAGCAGCCGCGGUAAUACGAAGGGUGCAAGCGUUAAUCGGAAUUACUGGGCGUAAAGCGUGCGUAGGCGGUUUCUUAAGUCUGCUGUGAAAUCCCCGGGCUCAACCUGGGAAUGGCAGUGGAUACUGGGAGGCUAGAGUGUGUCAGAGGGUGGUGGAAUUCCCGGUGUAGCGGUGAAAUGCGUAGAGAUCGGGAGGAACAUCGGUGGCGAAGGCGGCCACUUGGGACAACACUGACGCUGAGGCACGAAAGCGUGGGGAGCAAACAGGAUUAGAUACCCUGGUAGUCCACGCCCUAAACGAUGCGAACUGGAUGUUGGUCUCAACUCGGAGAUCAGUGUCGAAGCUAACGCGUUAAGUUCGCCGCCUGGGGAGUACGGUCGCAAGACUGAAACUCAAAUGAAUUGACGGGGUCAUAGCUGUUUCCUG
rnacentral:rRNA from 1 species